rnacentral:rRNA from 1 species
AUUCAGGUGGUUAUAGCACGAGGGUUCCACCUCUUCCCAUUCCGAACAGAGAAGUUAAGCCUCGUCACGCCGAUGGUACUGCGUAACAGUGGGAGAGUAGGUAGCCGCCAUUUUU